rnacentral:rRNA from 1 species
UUACGAACGCUGGCGGCGUGCUUAACACAUGCAAGUCGAACGGAAAGGCCCUGCUUUUGUGGGGUGCUCGAGUGGCGAACGGGUGAGUAACACGUGAGUAACCUGCCCUUGACUUUGGGAUAACUUCAGGAAACUGGGGCUAAUACCGGAUAGGAGCUCCUGCUGCAUGGUGGGGGUUGGAAAGUUUCGGCGGUUGGGGAUGGACUCGCGGCUUAUCAGCUUGUUGGUGGGGUAGUGGCUUACCAAGGCUUUGACGGGUAGCCGGCCUGAGAGGGUGACCGGCCACAUUGGGACUGAGAUACGGCCCAGACUCCUACGGGAGGCAGCAGUGGGGAAUAUUGCACAAUGGGCGGAAGCCUGAUGCAGCAACGCCGCGUGCGGGAUGACGGCCUUCGGGUUGUAAACCGCUUUCGCCUGUGACGAAGCGUGAGUGACGGUAAUGGGUAAAGAAGCACCGGCUAACUACGUGCCAGCAGCCGCGGUGAUACGUAGGGUGCGAGCGUUGUCCGGAUUUAUUGGGCGUAAAGGGCUCGUAGGUGGUUAAUCGCGUCGGAAGUGUAAUCUUGGGGCUUAACCCUGAGCGUGCUUUCGAUACGGGUUGACUUGAGGAAGGUAGGGGAGAAUGGAAUUCCUGGUGGAGCGGUGGAAUGCGCAGAUAUCAGGAGGAACACCAGUGGCGAAGGCGGUUCUCUGGGCCUUUCCUGACGCUGAGGAGCGAAAGCGUGGGGAGCGAACAGGCUUAGAUACCCUGGUAGUCCACGCUGUAAACGGUGGGUACUAGGUGUGGGGUCCAUUCCACGGGUUCCGUGCCGUAGCUAACGCUUUAAGUACCCCGCCUGGGGAGUACGGCCGCAAGGCUAAAACUCAAAGGAAUUGACGGGGCCCCGCACAAGCGGCGGAGCAUGCGGAUUAAUUCGAUGCAACGCGUAGAACCUUACCUGGGUUUGACAUGGAUCGGGAGUGCUCAGAGAUGGGUGUGCCUCUUUUGGGGUCGGUUCACAGGUGGUGCAUGGCUGUCGUCAGCUCGUGUCGUGAGAUGUUGGGUUAAGUCCCGCAACGAGCGCAACCCUUGUUCACUGUUGCCAGCACGUUAUGGUGGGGACUCAGUGGAGACCGCCGGGGUCAACUCGGAGGAAGGUGGGGAUGACGUCAAGUCAUCAUGCCCCUUAUGUCCAGGGCUUCACGCAUGCUACAAUGGCUGGUACAGAGAGUGGCGAGCCUGUGAGGGUGAGCGAAUCUCGGAAAGCCGGUCUCAGUUCGGAUUGGGGUCUGCAACUCGACCUCAUGAAGUCGGAGUCGCUAGUAAUCGCAGAUCAGCAACGCUGCGGUGAAUACGUUCCCGGGGCUUGUACACACCGCCCGUCAAGUCAUGAAAGUUGGUAACACCCGAAGCCGGUGGCCUAACCGUUGUGGGGGAGCCGUCGAAGGUGGGACUG